rnacentral:rRNA from 1 species
ACGCACGCUGGCGGCAGGCCUCACACCUGCAAGUCGAGCGCCCCGCAAGGGGAGCGGCGGACGGGUGAGUAACGCGUGGGAAUAUGCCCUUUGCUACGGAAUAGUCUCGGGAAACUGGGGGUAAUACCGUAUACGCCCUUUGGGGGAAAGAUUUAUCGGCGAAGGAUUAGCCCGCGUUGGAUUAGGUAGUUGGUGGGGUAAUGGCCUACCAAGCCGACGAUCCAUAGCUGGUUUGAGAGGAUGAUCAGCCACACUGGGACUGAGACACGGCCCAGACUCCUACGGGAGGCAGCAGUGGGGAAUCUUAGACAAUGGGGGCAACCCUGAUCUAGCCAUGCCGCGUGAGUGAUGAAGGCCUUAGGGUUGUAAAGCUCUUUCAGCUGGGAAGAUAAUGACGGUACCAGAAGAAGAAGCCCCGGCUAACUCCGU